UCCUGUAGCUCAGUGGUCAGAGUACUUGCCUGGCAAGCGAGUGACCUGGGUUUGAUUCCCGGCAGGGGAA